rnacentral:rRNA from 1 species
CAGUCGCCGCGGGAAAACGUAGGUGGCAAGCGUUGUCCGGAAUUAUUGGGCGUAAAGGGCUCGCAGGCGGUUUCUUAAGUCUGAUGUGAAAGCCCCCGGCUCAACCGGGGAGGGUCAUUGGAAACUGGGAAACUUGAGUGCAGAAGAGGAGAGUGGAAUUCCACGUGUAGCGGUGAAAUGCGUAGAGAUGUGGAGGAACACCAGUGGCGAAGGCGACUCUCUGGUCUGUAACUGGCGCUGAGGAGCGAAAGCGUGGGGAGCGAACAGGAUUAGAUACCCCCGUAGUCCCUGUCUCUUAUAC